rnacentral:lncRNA from 1 species
AUUCCACCAAAGACAGGCGGCAACAAAAGGCAUUGGAGUGGAUCGGCUCAAAUCUUAUAGCGAGCAUAUCUAACUUACUCCAAAGCUACUUCUAAAUAUUUAUAAAUAUAAACCCAACCUAAUCUAUAGUUAAUUGUUUUUGCUGGUUGUAUUAAUCUAGCUUACAAAUCUGAUAAGAACUUCAGCCUAAUCACCUCAACAA